UGUCAGGUCUGGCAUCUGGAUUGGCAAGCAGGCUUCGGGGACGUUGGUCUGGGUCAUGUCUGAUUUGAUGUUCUGGCAUUUGGUGUCCGAUGUUUUGGACAGUAGAUGAGCUGAAAAAAAAAACCGAAGCACGACUGGAACUUUGUCCGAAAAGUCUUGGUGAAAGGAAAGGGCAACAUCCUGCCCAGCCUCCACAUCACAGAAGCUGUCGUCCCUUAAAGUUGACACGCAGAUGCCAUUGGCUCAGGAGGACAGCAUCGACUUCGUUAUUGGUCAUCAAAGGACGAUGGAAAGGCCUCUUCGGAGUCUACAUGGGGUCUGCAGUGAGCGAGGACGAGGGAAGAAAAGGAUGAAGGAUGUGCGGCGGCACCUCUCCCAGAAACUGGCGGAUUGCCAGAGAAAGUAGAACAAUGCUCAGUUCGAACUAUAAAAAAUUUGAAUGACAUCCCCUAGGCAUUUGUUGACUUCAUUACCUGGCGGCUUUGUAUGUUUGUCUAACAAACGAGCCCUUAAUUAACUCCUCUUUUGUUCAUAGUAGAACAUGUAGUUUUACAGAUUUUUCUAUGGACAGAAUCAAGUAAAAGGCAGAAAAAACUUGUAACACUUCAUUCAAACAUAUGGUAAUACACACUCCAUUCAUUAUAUGAUGCCAUAUUUAAAGCACACCCAAACUAUGGGCUUGAAGUGUGACUGGUGUGGCCGUAGCGCUACCUCUUGGUGCUGGUGUGCUCUGCUUCGUGGUGGUUGCACUAGGAGUGUUUCAGUUGAAAUGCACAUUGAAGCACACAAAUUAGCCGACUUUUAUAGGAUCUUGCAUGCCCGAACUUGUAUCGCAGGGACUCUAGCCUGCAACGUUGCCUAUGUUGGGUCGUGGUCAUCUUGGCUUGGCCAUGCUGUGAUUUGGCAUACUAAGCUGCAUAAGAUGGUUCCAGUGGGUGACGGUGGUUCUUAGAUGAUCGUCACAGGUGCAGCCGACUAUUUUCCACUUGCAGCUCUGUGACCACUGCGGGAAAUCCUGGGGCAGCAAUUGGCCGCACUGAUAUUCUAGGGCAACAGCAAUGCAGUCUGCUUGGUGGUUGUGGGCACAGACUGCUCAGACCUUGCUGAUACACUAGAAUUACACAAGGUUGGCAAAGUGUUAAUGCUGUACAGCCUAUGACCACCUUUCCUAGGCUGACACGAGUUCAUGGCAUCUGCUUGGAAACCUGUGGUCUCUUGCGAGUGGCUGGUAGUCUUCGAGCGCAUGAGCAAGUCUUUUGUGUGUCUGGCAGUGUUUCU